GCCACAUUGAUUUGCAGCCCACACCUUGUCUGUCCUGCACUGCUUUUCAACCACCAGUCCUGUUUUCUGUAGAUGCUCGAGGAAGAAGUGAAGAUGGAAGCAGUGAAGAUAAACACCUCAAAGGACCAGUCUGCAGGUCUACAGCGACAAGGCGCCACCGUCAGUUUCCACAACGUUCACUACAAAAUUAAGCAAGCCGGAGG